GACUUACUUCAAUAUUGUAAUAUAUGCUACAAAUAGUACGAUUAAUAUAUUCUUGUAAUCUAGUUCGUCAUUUUAGGUUAGGCUCUUAUAAUUUUUUUAAAAAGUUCCCGAACAACAGUGUCAUUUUGUGAUAAUAGUAUCAAUAAAUCUGUAAUAAAUUGUUUGUAUGUUAAAUCACGUGAAAUAUUUUUUUUACCAAAUCUUUGCAUUAGUUUAAGAAGGCAAUUUCGAAAUAAGUAAAAAGAUUAGUUACAUAAAUAUCUCUGAAAAAGAAUGUUAUAAAUAUACAUAUAAGUUUCAAUACAUGGUAUAAAUAUCAGUACGUCUUGAACUAAUUGAAAAUUUUAUAACUGUCCUAGAUAAGCUCCAAUUUUUCAUUGAACUUAUUUAAAAAAAAAAAUGCUUUUGGAUAAAAAAUAUGUCAC